GAUGAACGCUGGCGGCGUGCCUAAUACAUGCAAGUCGAGCGAACGGACGAGAAGCUUGCUUCUCUGAUGUUAGCGGCGGACGGGUGAGUAACACGUGGAUAACCUACCUAUAAGACUGGGAUAACUUCGGGAAACCGGAGCUAAUACCGGAUAAUAUUUUGAACCGCAUGGUUCAAAAGUGAAAGACGGUCUUGCUGUCACUUAUAGAUGGAUCCGCGCUGCAUUAGCUAGUUGGUAAGGUAACGGCUUACCAAGGCAACGAUGCAUAGCCGACCUGAGAGGGUGAUCGGCCACACUGGAACUGAGACGCGGUCCAGACUCCUACGGGAGGCAGCAGUAGGGAAUCUUCCGCAAUGGGCGAAAGCCUGACGGAGCAACGCCGCGUGAGUGAUGAAGGUCUUCGGAUCGUAAAACUCUGUUAUUAGGGAAGAACAUAUGUGUAAGUAACUGUGCACAUCUUGACGGUACCUAAUCAGGAAGCCACGGCUAACUACGUG
rnacentral:rRNA from 1 species